GAUGAAGAACGUAGCGAAAUGCGAUAAGUAGUGUGAAUUGCAGAAUUCAGUGAAUCAUCGAAUCUUUGAACGCACAUUGCGCCCUUUGGUAUUCCUUAGGGCAUGCCUGUUCGAGCGUCAUUUGGAACCUCAAGCUCAGCUUGGUGUUGGGUGUCUGUCCCCGCCUCCGCGGGGACUCGCCUCAAAAUCAUUGGCGGCCGGUACGUUGGCUUCGAGCGCAGCAGAAACGCGAACUCGAGGCCCGGCGGAUCGGCGACCAGAAGUCUCUUCUUCACAGUUUGACCUCGGAUCAGGUAGGGAUACCCGCUGAACUUAAGCAUAUCAAUAAGCGGAGGA
rnacentral:misc_RNA from 1 species